rnacentral:misc_RNA from 1 species
UUUCCGUUGGUGAACCAGCGGAGGGAUCAUUACUGAGUGAGGGCCCCUCGGGGUCCAACCUCCCACCCGUGUUUAACGACCCUUGUUGCUUCGGCGGGCCCGCCUCACGGCCGCCGGCGGGCAUCUGCCCCCGGGCCCGCGCCCGCCGAAGUUACCUGUGAACGCUGUCUGAAGUAUGCAGUCUGAGACAAUUAUUAAAUUAAUUAAAACUUUCAACAACGGAUCUCUUGGUUCCG